GCCUAUCAUUUCUGCUGUAUAUAAUUUCUCUGUAUCUUCUAUAGUUCUUGUCCUAUACAUAAAAGAGUAAAAGUUGAAUGACAUCUUGCAUCAAUAUUUUUUUCUGUUUAAUGUACAUUAUGUAUAUUAAUGUGUGUUUAAUAAAAAUCUAAACCGUGAGUGCUUGAUAAGCUUCUUGCCCUUAUAGCUGGUCUUUAAGCUUUAAAUGAAUUUUAAUGAUCGACUAAAAAACUAUGAGCACUGUGCAAAUAAGACCCCUGCCCUCCAAAAAAAACAAAACAUGCAC
rnacentral:lncRNA from 1 species